CCUACGGGAGGCAGCAGUGAGGAAUAUUGGUCAAUGGGAGAGAUCCUGAACCAGCCAAGCCGCGUGAGGGAAGACGGCCCUAUGGGUUGUAAACCUCUUUUGUCGGAGAACAAAACCCGGGACGUGUCCCGGACUGCGUGUAUCCGAAGAAAAAGCAUCGGCUAACGCCGUGCCAGCAGCCGCGGUCAUACGGAGGAUGCGAGCGUUAUCCGGAUUUAUUGGGUGUAAAGGGUGCGUAGGCGGUCCGUUAAGUCAGCGGUAAAAUUGCGGGGCUAAACCCUGUCGAGCCGUUGAACCUGGCAGACUUGAGUUGGCGAGAAGUACGCGGAAUGCGCGGUGUAGCGGUGAAAUGCAUAGAGAUCGCGCAGAACUCCGAUUGCGAAGGCAGCGUACCGGCGCCAGACUGACGCUGAGGCACGAAAGCGUGGGGAGCGAACAGGAUUAGAUACCCCUGUAGUC
rnacentral:rRNA from 1 species